UGAGGAAUAUUGGUCAAUGGGCGAGAGCCUGAACCAGCCAAGUAGCGUGCAGGAUGACGGCCCAAUGGGUUGUAAACUGCUUUUAUGUGGGGAUAAAGUGCGUGACGUGUCAUGCAUUGCAGGUACCACAUGAAUAAGGACCGGCUAAUUCCGUGCCAGCAGCCGCGGUAAUACGGAAGGUCCGGGCGUUAUCCGGAUUUAUUGGGUUUAAAGGGAGCGUAGGCUGUCUAUUAAGCGUGUUGUGAAAUUUACCGGCUCAACCGGUGGCUUGCAGCGCGAACUGGUCGACUUGAGUAUGCAGGAAGUAGGCGGAAUUCAUGGUGUAGCGGUGAAAUGCUUAGAUAUCAUGACGAACUCCGAUUGCGCAGGCAGCUUACUGUAGCAUAACUGACGCUGAUGCUCGAAAGUGCGGGUAUCAAACAGG
rnacentral:rRNA from 1 species